GAUGAACGCUAGCGGCAGGCCUAACACAUGCAAGUCGAGGGAGAAGCCUUUCGGGGCAGAAACCGGCGCACGGGUGCGUAACGCGUAUGCAACCUACCUUUCACAGGGGGAUAGCCCGAAGAAAUUUGGAUUAAUACCCCAUAAUAUUGUUGGAUGGCAUCAUUUGGCAAUUAAAACUGCGGUGGUGAAAGAUGGGCAUGCGUCCUAUUAGCUAGUUGGAGUGGUAACGGCACCCCAAGGCUACGAUAGGUAGGGGUCCUGAGAGGGAGAUCCCCCACACUGGUACUGAGACAGGGACCAGACUCCUACGGGAGGCAGCAGUGAGGAAUAUUGGUCAAUGGUCGGAAGACUGAACCAGCCAUGCCGCGUGCAGGAAGAAUGCCUUAUGGGUUGUAAACUGCUUUUAUAUGGGAAGAAUAAGGUGUACGUGUACAUUGAUGACGGUACCAUAUGAAUAAGCAU
rnacentral:rRNA from 1 species